UACGAAGGGUGCAAGCGUUACUCGGAAUUACUGGGCGUAAAGCGUGCGUAGGUGGUUUGUUAAGUCUGAUGUGAAAGCCCCGGGCUCAACCUGGGAACUGCAUUUGAAACUGGCGGGCUUGAGUGUGGCAGAGGGGGGUGGAAUUCCGCGUGUAGCAGUGAAAUGCGUAGAGAUGCGGAGGAACACCGAUGGCGAAGGCAGCCCCCUGGGCCAACACUGACGCUCAGGCACGAAAGCGUGGGGAGCAAACAGG
rnacentral:rRNA from 1 species